rnacentral:rRNA from 1 species
CCUGGCUCGUAUGAACGCUAGCGACAGGCUUAACACAUGCAAGUCGAGGGGCAGCGGGGUGUAGCAAUACACCGCCGGCGACCGGCGCACGGGUGAGUAACGCGUAUGCAACUUACCUAUCAGAGGGGGAUAACCCGGCGAAAGUCGGACUAAUACCGCAUGAAGCAGGGGCCCCGCAUGGGGAUAUUUGCUAAAGAUUCAUCGCUGAUAGAUAGGCAUGCGUUCCAUUAGGCAGUUGGCGGGGUAACGGCCCACCAAACCGACGAUGGAUAGGGGUUCUGAGAGGAAGGUCCCCCACAUUGGUACUGAGACACGGACCAAACUCCUACGGGAGGCAGCAGUGAGGAAUAUUGGUCAAUGGGCGUAAGCCUGAACCAGCCAAGUCGCGUGAGGGAUGAAGGUUCUAUGGAUCGUAAACCUCUUUUAUAAGGGAAUAAAGUGUAGGACGUGUCUAUUUUGUAUGUACCUUAUGAAUAAGGAUCGGCUAACUCCGUGCCAGCAGCCGCGGUAAUACGGAGGAUCCGAGCGUUAUCCGGAUUUAUUGGGUUUAAAGGGUGCGUAGGCGGCCUUUUAAGUCAGCGGUGAAAGUCUGUGGCUCAACCAUAGAAUUGCCGUUGAAACUGGGAGGCUUGAGUAUGUUGAGGCAGGCGGAAUGCGUGGUGUAGCGGUGAAAUGCUUAGAUAUCACGCAGAACCCCGAUUGCGAAGGCAGCCUGCCAAGCCAUGACUGACGCUGAUGCACGAAAGCGUGGGGAUCAAACAGGAUUAGAUACCCUGGUAGUCCACGCAGUAAACGAUGAUCACUAGCUGUUUGCGAUACACAGUAAGCGGCACAGCGAAAGCGUUAAGUGAUCCACCUGGGGAGUACGCCGGCAACGGUGAAACUCAAAGGAAUUGACGGGGGCCCGCACAAGCGGAGGAACAUGUGGUUUAAUUCGAUGAUACGCGAGGAACCUUACCCGGGUUUGAACGCAUUUCGACCGCUCUGGAAACAGAGCCUCUAGCAAUAGCGAUUUGCGAGGUGCUGCAUGGUUGUCGUCAGCUCGUGCCGUGAGGUGUCGGCUUAAGUGCCAUAACGAGCGCAACCCUUGCCACUAGUUACUAACAGGUGAUGCUGAGGACUCUGGUGGGACUGCCAGCGUAAGCUGCGAGGAAGGCGGGGAUGACGUCAAAUCAGCACGGCCCUUACAUCCGGGGCGACACACGUGUUACAAUGGCGUGGACAAAGGGAAGCCACCUGGCGACAGGGAGCGAAUCCCCAAACCACGUCUCAGUUCGGAUCGGAGUCUGCAACCCGACUCCGUGAAGCUGGAUUCGCUAGUAAUCGCGCAUCAGCCAUGGCGCGGUGAAUACGUUCCCGGGCCUUGUACACACCG